CUUCCGAUAUUCUCCGUCUUCUCUCUAGCGAAGUCUGAGAACUCAUUUCGCUGCAUGGCCAUUUUGUCGGUUAUCCGUUAUUUUGCAAUCGUCGACGGUGAUUGGUGAUUUCUUCACAGCGGAAAGCAACUCCGUUCGCCAAGCAGCGAACUACUUUUACGGGAUCUGCCUUAUGUUAUUAACAUAUGUGUUGUCUCCAGUCUUAGGUUAGAACAAAAUGACCUGCAAAAACGAAGGGCUAUACUAAAAGAUAAGUUUUUUUUCUUGUUUAUGUGUUACCCGCUUUGAGUAUACAGAUCCUUGGAAAUUUUGACACAUAUUUUACAAUCUAUUAUAAAUUUAAUUUGUUUAAAUUAAUAGUAACCUGCGUAUGAUUUCAUCCUGUUUUAAAUAAAAUGAGUUAUUUCCUUUUUUUUUGUAAUAUGCAGCCUAUGAUAGUAAUGCACACUAUUAUUCCAUUUUUAAUCAGAUCCAAGCACAUGGUUUUGGAUGGACAUGCAGAUUAUGAGAAUUACAGAUUUGGUGCCUGCUUUAUGCAUACUUUUUUUUUUUUUAAUCAUGGGGAUGGAAUUGGAAGUCAGCAACCACCUCCCCCUAAAAAUAAUUGAAGGCCAUGGAUAUUACCUGGAUCUACCUUUGCUUUGUUUCAAAAUGAAUAGGACCUCAGAUAAAGAAUCAACACAUAUUUGAGAUAAAUAAUCAACACAAAUUCAUUUUAUAAACACCAAAAAUUACAAAUAGAGGUGUAUACCAUUCCCAUCUCCAAGAACACAGCAGCCCUAUUAGUAAGGAACCAAAUUUCCUCAUCAUCAAGUACCAUGACGUUUGCAAGUGUAUACCUUUCCCAUCUCAAUAUGUGCCUUCAUCUCCUUAUCAGUAAACUAUUUAUAGUGCAUUUUUUGAUUGUGUA